rnacentral:tRNA from 1 species
AGGGAUGUAACUCAAUUGGUAGAGUAUCGGUCUCCAAAACCGAAAGUUGAGAGUUCGAAUCUCUCCGUCCCUG